AAAAAUUAGCGGGGAAAGAAGAUCCUGUUGAGCUUGACUCUAAUAUGGCAGUGUAAGGAGACAUAAGAAGUGUAGAAUAAGUGGGAGAUAUUGUUCUUUCGGGUUCAUUGUCGCCAAUGAAAUACCACUACUCUUAUUGUUUUCUUACUUACUGGAUUAAGUGGAACGUGUAUCAUUACUUAGCCAUUAUACGGAUACAUUUAUAUAACUCAUGGUAUUAGGGUCUGACGCAAGCUUUUUGAACAAAGUACUAAAGAAUUGGUUAUAUAAUUGUAAACAAAUUUUAAUGAGAUUGUUUGACAUUGCGGUGAUUAUUCAAUCAAUAUUUAGAAUUUGGUAUAACUCCCAAUACUCAGGUAUGAUCCAAUUCAAGGACAUUGCCAGGUAGGGAGUUUGACUAGGGCGGUACAUCUCUCAAAUAAUAACGGAGGUGUCCCAAGGCCAGCUCAGUGCGGGCAGAAACCACACAUAGAGCAAAAGGGCAAAAGCUGACUUGAUCUCGGUGUUAAGUACACACAGGGACAGCAAAAGCUCGGCCUAUCGAUCCUUUUGAUUUAAGGAAUUUUUAAUAAGAGGUGUCAGAAAAGUUACCAUAGGGAUAACUGGCUUAUGACGGUCAAGCGUUCAUAGCGACGUCGCUUUUUGAUCCUUUGAUGUCGGCUCUUCCUAUCAUUGUGAAGCAAAAUUCACCAAGUGUUGGAUUGUUCACCCAUGCAAUGGAGCUGGGUUUAGGCCGUCGUGAGACAGGUUAGUUUUACCCUACUAAUGACAAUAUGUUGUUGCGACAGCAUUCCUGCGUAGUACGGGAGGAACCGCGGGUACGGACCAAUGGCACAAUAUUUGUUCGAGCGAACAGUGGUGGCCUCUAAGGUCGUAUCCGAGCUGGACUGCAAUGAUAAAAAUGAGGC
rnacentral:ncRNA from 1 species